rnacentral:rRNA from 1 species
AGCCGCCGCGGUAAUACCGGCGGCUCGAGUGGUGGCCACUAUUACUGGGCUUAAAGCGUCCGUAGCUGGAUUGUUAAGUCUCUUGGGAAAUCCACCGGCUCAACCGAUGGGCGUUCAGGAGAAACUGGCAAUCUAGGGACCGGGAGAGGUGGGAGGUACUCCAGGGGUAGGAGUGAAAUCCUGUAAUCCUUGGGGGACCACCUGUGGCGAAGGCGUCUCACUAGAACGGCUCCGACAGUGAGGGACGAAAGCUGGGGGAGCAAACCGGAUUAGAUACCCGGGUAGUCCCAGCUGUAAACGAUGCGCGUUAGGUGCAUCGGUGACCACGAGUCAUCGAGGUGCCGAAGGGAAACCGUGAAACGUGCCGC